UACAGGGGGGGCAAGCGUUGUUCGGAAUUACUGGGCGUAAAGAGUGUGUAGGCGGUGCUCCCAGUCUGUUGUGAAAUCUCCCGGCUUAACUGGGAGGGUGCAGCGGAAACUAGAGUGCUAGAGGGUGGGAGAGGUAAGCGGAAUUCCUGGUGUAGCGGUGAAAUGCGUAGAUAUCAGGAGGAACACCUGUGGUGUAGACAGCUUACUGGACCACUUCUGACGCUGAGACACGAAAGCGUGGGUAGCAAACAGG
rnacentral:rRNA from 1 species